rnacentral:rRNA from 1 species
UACGGGGGGGGCAAGCGUUGUUCGGAAUUACUGGGCGUAAAGGGCUUGUAGGUGGCCAACUAAGUCAGACGUGAAAUCCCUCGGCUUAACCGGGGAACUGCGUCUGAUACUGGAUGGCUCGAGUGUGGGAGAGGGCAGUGGAAUUCCCGGUGUAGCGGUGAAAUGCGUAGAUAUCGGGAGGAACAUCAGUGGCGAAGGCGGCUGCCUGGCCCAAUACUGACACUCAGGUGCGACAGCGUGGGGAGCAAACAGG